CAUCAAGUGUAGCAUUCGGCGAACUGCUAGACUGCUUUUUUUUUUUUUUUCGUUCUUUCCUUUUCUUUUUUUUCCUUUCUUUCUCCGUCUCUUUUUACCCAUUUUUGCUUCGCGAUCGUUCUAAAUACCAAGGAAGACGUUGACCUUAUAUAAAAGCGACAAGGGUAAGAGGAUCAAGGCAAAUCAUUAUUUGAUUCUUCGCUUCCGAAGUAUUUUUUUAAAAGCAAAGUAAACAUCCGGUAUAAUCGAGAGGUAUACGAGCUUCUCUGGAUCGGUUUGUCGGUCGGUCGGUCGGUCGGUCGGUCGAUCGAUAAAUCGAUUAAUCGAACGUAUCGUCAAUAGUAGUUCUCCGCUGGUUGGCGUUCAUUCGACAAUUGGCUUUGUCUGUCAGCGAUUUUCUUCCGGGGGAAAAGGAAGACGACGCGAAGCAAUUCAAAUAAAAAGAAGCGAAAAGAUAAAGAAAACAAGAGGACGAGAGAUAGAGAUAAAGAUAAAGAUAAAGAUAGAAAGAAAAAGAGAAUUAUCGUAGAAUUGUUGAUUCUCUCAAUAGUUCGAAUAGACGUAGUCUUCGUCGUUCUUCUUUUUUUCUUUAUUCUUCCCUUUUCAUUUUAUUAUUAUUAUUAUUAUUAUUAUUAUUAUUAUUAUUAUUAUUAUUAUUAUUAUAAUUUCGUUUUUUUUUUAACCCCCAUUGUUCCGAAAAGAGAAAGAAAGAGAAAUAGAUAGUAGACACGAGCGAUCCUCAAGCUUUGCCUCCUCGAGAUACAAUCGCCGUGUCAGGCUCGGCGUACGACGUCCUUGAAUCGCGUAACGCUUUUACUCGGCCGACUCUUGCGCUCUGCUUCAACCGAGCAUUCGACCGAAGUGCUUUCGUGCUGCGCCGGAAUCUCCUACGUGCAAAAUAAAAUCCGGAAGGCCUGUAACGUCUGCGGAGCGAGAACCGUGCCACCACGAACGAGUAUUGGGAUCUACGAAGCGGCAAUCCGGUGAUUACCUCGUUCCAGAAAAGAAGAAAAUAAUUUGGCUUUAGAAUCGUGAAAGUGAUCGAGCAUCUAGAACGGACCUUGUGGUAGGAGAGAAAGAGUAAGAACGAUCGUCCUCGCUCGCCGAAAGUCGCACUCUCGAGUGACGACUACAUUGAGCUCAGUGUGCGUGCUUACUCUAACGAGCAAAGACGAAAGUUUUUCUUCUUUUAUUUUUCUUUUCCUUUUACUCUUUAUUUUUUUAUGACAUUCCGCGAUAACAAUUUCGACGAUAAAAAGGAUCAUCGAUAUAUGUGACAUAUGUAAGAGAAAGAGAGAGAGAGAGAGAGAGAGAGAGAGAGAGUAAGAGAGAGAGAGAGAAACAAUCUUCAUCGUGUCAAACAGCAAACAAGCAGAUAGAGCGAGUUAAAGAAGAUAAAAUUAUAAAAGGAAGAAACGAGAG